UACGGAGGGUGCAAGCGUUAAUCGGAAUUACUGGGCGUAAAGCGCACGCAGGCGGUUUGUUAAGUCAGAUGUGAAAUCCCCGGGCUCAACCUGGGAACUGCAUUUGAAACUGGCAAGCUUGAGUCUCGUAGAGGGGGGUAGAAUUCCAGGUGUAGCGGUGAAAUGCGUAGAGAUCUGGAGGAAUACCGGUGGCGAAGGCGGCCCCCUGGACGAAGACUGACGCUCAGGUGCGAAAGCGUGGGGAG
rnacentral:rRNA from 1 species